ensembl:lncRNA LINC02269 long intergenic non-protein coding RNA 2269
AGUUGGCAGGAUGGCAGCAGCAGACACACAGGGUGGUUAAGAACAACAAACACAGGCAAACCACUUCAAUAGAACAUGGCUGGCGGCCAUAUGGACAUAUUUGAAUCCAACAAUUAAUUCAGCAAAGAAAGCUGCUUGUGGCAAGUUUUGAAUGUGCCAUUCCAGGUAGUGCUUUGAUGAUAAAUGAGGAGAAGAUUGCAAAGAAAAUGACAGCAACAUUUAUAAAAGGAUUCCUCUUAGGACUCUAGAUGCACGGAGAGUGGCCAGAUUAAUACAGACUGGCAAAAGAAGAACUUGGCAAAGUGAUUUGAUCACACACUUCUCACCCUCACAUCUCCUGACAGUUCCCCUAAUCCCUGCCCCACUUCCCCGCCAUGGGCUUCCAUCAGGAAACUCCUUGAUAUCAUCUUCGUUACAGGAAUGCAGAUGUGAUUCCUAUGGAUGAGGGUAACCUAGAGGCUAGAAGAACAAUAGGACAGAAGAAGCCUGGGUCCCUGAACAACCUUGUGGAGCAUAGACACCUACGUGGCCUGGACUGCCAGCUCACAAUGGGCCUCUCUGUGAGAGAAGGAAACUUCCCUCUUGUUUAAGCAACUGUGCUUUUGAGAAUCUCUUGGUCUAUACCCUAAUGAAUAAGGCCAUCAUAAAUGGAUAUCAAAGUAAGGAAAUUUGUGUAAAUGAUUUAAUAAAACAUUACCUCAGGUAUGAAAUAA